ACGCUGUGUGGCUUCCUCUCUGGGUAGGAAGGCAAGGUGUCUUCUACAUUUUUGCAUUUUUCCAGGCUGCCACCCAUACCCCAGGCCACACAGAGUAAGGGAAGACAAGGUCUGAGAAGGAUUACCAGGAGAGAGAUGAGUUAAUAUCUCAAAAAUGUUACUCUUCCACAUUGAUGAGCUUCCCAGGUGGCGCUAGUGGAAAAGAACCCACCUGCCAAUGAAGGAGACGUAAGAGACGCAGGUUUGAUCCCUGGGUCAGGAAGAUCCCCUGGGGAAGGGCAUUGCAACCCACUCCAGUAUUCUUGCCUGGAGAAUUCCCUGGACAGAGGAGCCUGGCAGGCUGUAGUGCAUAAGGUUGCACAGAGUCGGACACGACUGAAGCGACUUAGCAUGCAUGCACGACAUUGAGGUGUUCUUAGUUUUUAUCCCUAAACAAAGUUCCAAGUUCACUUUAAGAACCGUCUUUUAUCUUCUGGUUUCAUUUGCGGCCCCUGUGUGGCUCCACUGCCCGCUCUGCCAAAGGUCUGCUCCCAGCUUUACCGCUGCUCCUCUGACCCCAUCCCUCAGUCCCUAACGGAAAAUCUCAGCCCUUCUCUGAGGCAGUGACGAGGUGGAUAUGAUGUAGCUUGUUGGGAAAACCACAGAAUCUGUGCUCAGCUGAUCCUUUACCAGCCCCGACGCCGCCACGCAUCUCUGCGUCAAUCAACCACCCCAUACCUCCCAGGUUGCUGCCCCUGGGGAACAUCACUGGGUAACUCGCUCAUACCUCCCGCGAAGGGAUUUGUUAGACUCUGGAACACCAAAGAUGAAAGGCACAGGCAGGCCUGCCCUCAAGGAGCUUCAGCCACAGGAGGAAAGGGAACAAAACGUGAGAUUCAAGAGCUGUUCCCAAGUGACGCGCAUCCAUUCACCAAGUUAAUGCUUAAUAAGAACGAUCUACAAAGGGUGACCGAAAGAUGAGGAGAGUGAAGACUGCCUCCAGUGAGCAUGAACGAGCGAAAUAAAUAAAUAGAUGCCAUGCUGAUCCCAAAAGAAGGAAGGUGCAGGAAGGGGAACUUGCACAGCAAUUCUGGGGAGCAGGAACCCUAGCCCACCUUCGUCCUCCGCAUCUCCCCUGGGGCUUCAGGAGACUUGUCACCACAGUUCACACCAGCUUCCUCCUGCCCCAGCUCUCCCACCGCAUCUCCAGUCUCUGAACCUGCAGAGCUGCUGAUGCUGCUGGGGCCUGACGUCGCCCUGCAGCUGGAGGCCGCCCUGGCUGACCCUCAGCUGCCCUGUCCCUGUCUCACUCCAGAGACGGGCCUCGGGGGCAAUCUUGUCUUUAACACGUGGCCUCCUCUGUUCCAGGGGUCACGGAAGACCGCCCAGAGCUCACCACGUCUCACGGAGAUUUUAAUGAAACAGCUCUUCUAUUUAUUUGUGUUGCUGCCUCCAAGGCCUGGGGCCAUGACAUCAGUCCCUGAGAGGGGAGGCCCGGGCUCAGGGGACAUCAGGCUUUCUGUCCAGUUGCUUAGGUUCUGACACUAACCCGGCUUUUCUGCUUCAGUCCUACACUCUUCCCUCUGUUUUUUUCUCGGGCGUGUCUGAAUCCUGGGGUGAAUACCGUUUACCUUGCACCCUGUGGCACUUGUUAAAAGUAAACAGGUUUUCCCUGAGCGUUGGCAGUUCCACCAGAAGGAGAACAAAGGUCAAUGCAGUCAUACGGAAUCUGAUUAACACCAAGCCGCAGAAACACACCCCUGGAUUAGAUGCUUUCCCAGCUGCCCCUGCCCUUUGGACAGAGGAGCCGUUCUAGCUGGUGUGCAGGCAGCAGCUAUGCUUAGCUCGCUGAGUGGGAAUGUGUUAAUCCACAUUUCAAGUUAGGUUUGCCUAUUGUUAUUUUUUAAUUAUAUGUACUUUAAGAGUGAUGUUAUCAUUUGAAUUUUAAAAAAUGUAUAGAAAAAAGUUUUAUUACAUUGGAGUAAAAGAAAAAAGAAAUUUUAAUCAGGUUUACAGAGGUAUAAUUUACAUUCAAUGAAUUCCACCCUCUUUAGUGGAC
ensembl:lncRNA